AUGAAUAGGUCAGUUGCUAUUCACAAUAUAAUGGUGAUGCUGAGUCAAAAGUAGUCAUAACAAAAAGACUGCCGGAAAGCCUUUUUGUUGUACCUGUCUGCAGCCUAUCCAUUAUAUGGUGAGUAGCAGUUAUCUCUUUCGUAUUAGUGUAACUUCAUCAGUGAGGACACUGGUUAUAAGUGCAGUCUUUGUUAUUCAAAUUUGGGCUCGUCUUCCAUGCACACCACCACCUUCCGUUUCGAAUUCGCAUUUGCACAAGAGAAAUGGAACAUUGUUUUACAUCUGAUGCACAUAAUUGCUUUGAAGAUACAAUUUCCACAUUAGCAAAGGCUUGAAAAUUUUUGGAAGAUAACACAAAAAGUGGAGAAAUGUACCUGCAUGAAAACAAAACCAAAAAGGUGUCUUGCAUAAGGCGGAAUUGCUCUCAAACACUAUACAAUACUAUAUUGUACUGUUAGUGCUUAGUGCAUUACUGUGUCUUUAGAACAAAACCUUCUCAAAAUUAACUAUUAAGGCUGUCUUAUUAGUAACCUAUGGGCAUUAUAUACCAUUUUUUGCCUAGAUUUCCCAUUAAAGAAUUAAUGUGAUAUUUGGCUUUACUUUCAAUAUGCAAAAUUACACCUAUACUUUGUUACGCUUUUUCAAACAGACUAUCUAUAUCGUUGGGAUGAUGGUUCCUUGUCUCCAUCUGGCUAUCCUGAUUAAGGUUCUCCUUGCUUUUUCUAAAUUACUUUAGGCAACUGCUGGAGUGGUUCAUUCUAUAAGGCCAUGGCCGACUACCUGCUCCAUGGUUUUCAAACUAGACGUCUAACUAUGUUAAUGUCUGUGUAUACAAAUUAUGUUUUUAGCUCUUACACUGCAAUAUCACGGCAUGUACAAUGUCCUUAUAAACAUGAUCCGUGUAUAAAUAAGUCUGCUGCUGCUGCUGCUGCUACUACUACUACUUACCACCACCACCACCACCUUCUGAAGAGUACCUUAAAUGCAACUUGCAUUUGUUCUGUCAUUUAAUGUGCUCCUAUUAAGAAUCUUUGUCCCUUACUGUUCAAAACUAUGUCGUGGCCUGUGCUGCCCUGAUCUAAAGCCACAUGGAAAAUGCAAGGAGAGUUGGAAUAUGAUUGUUUACAGUGGACUGUUGACCACAAAUAAAUUAAAUAGUCUCAAAGCCGAAUAUCAAAUACUCAACAAGUACAUUUUUCCAUGUUUAAAAUGAGGCUUGUCAGGUCACCUCAAGAAUCAUGGAAGAGCAAGAAAAAUUAUGCAUAAGAAAGAUCCGUAUCAUAACAUUUGCAUUCAAAGUACAAACUAUGCAUAUUACAAAAUCAGAUGUUGCUCAAAGCUCACCUUGAAAACCUGGGAUCAAGACCACUUGUCCUAUAUAUCUGAAAUAAUAAGAAUCUACAUGCAAAAAUACAGUGACUGAGCUAUCCACGCACUACUCUGGAAUUGACAUCACAGCCCUACGGACACCUGUACCUCUUCUCCUAGGUGCCAUACUAAGGUGAAGUUCUUGUGCAUACCUUUUGGGAAAAGCAGCCUUCCUUACAGGAGUGCUGGUCUCGCAAGGUACGCAGAAAAACUUCGGUGAACUUUUUUUUUAAAUAGGUUUUUGGAACAUGCCCACGCAGCCAUCUCAACACGCAAAAUGCUAUAAUGCAGUUUGGUUUUGAAAAUUCAUAGUAAACAUUAGUUUAAUUCUGUGAAGAUAUACUCGCGUAAGAUCUGUGAAGCCAGGUUGAUAAGUGGUCAGAUAGAUCAGUCGAUAGAGUACUUGGCCACCAAAGUCAAAGAUGCGAGGUUUGAGAUCCCUCCUGGCAAACAUUUUUUAAUCUGCCAGGAAGUUUCAGACCAGCACUAUCUGUGUGGUGGGUGCUAGUACAUUCAACAGUGAAGCAUCAUUUUACUGUAAGGAUCUAUCUGCUUUAUACAAGGAGAAUGUGAGUGACAUGUACAGACAUGUGAAUAUAUGCACAUGUAUAACGAAGAAAGUCCAGGUAGCCAGUUGUUACUUUGUUGAAGAAAACAGUGUGACAUUUGCCACCUACUGCACUCCCAUGACUUAAACCCUCGUGAGUUCAACUGAAGGAAACAGUUCAUGGCAUUCGCUUCAGAACUGCUACAAAUUCGUCGGGCAAUAGACCAUGCCGCUCGAACUGUCAAGACAACUGGUACUGCUAAGAGUAUCCUACGACUUCCACAUCGCUGGCAACGGGUUAUACACAAUGCUGGUGACUACUUUGAAGGAAAUAGGAUCUUUUGUGCAAUAAAAGUACUGGGCCUUGUCCAGAAACCAUGAGCUUCAAUUCAAACAACUAUAAUUCUUGUUCUACAGAUAAAGGGACUGUGACAACUGCUAUUGCAGAAGUAGCAGAAGAUUUAAAAAGUCCUUUGAACUAUUCAAGUGGGACAAAAUUUAAGAAUUGCUCAACUGCCAACACCUGGACUGUAAGGGGACUGAAGAGCUUGACUGCAGCAACAACCUGCAUCGAGUCCCUUCCGUUCAAGCACCAGAACUCCAGUACUUGGUGCAUGGUCCUUACAAGGGACUCAGAUGGACUUUAUCUGUCAUUUUUGCUGAAAGAUAGUCCAACUGAAAUGCUUCUGAGAGCAAAUGUAAGAGCAGAUGAGAUUCUUCGUACUGGUGAAAAGCGAGAAGUGUUCCCAAGCACGUGGUAUAAUUUGGAUGAAGGAGAGAAAACUGAAAUGCUGCCUGUUAGGAAAACUGAAACUGCAGGAGAGGGCGAUGACGAAGAUGAGAUAACGUUGCAGUGUGAAGUCUGCAUGCAGUGCAUUGUACAGGAUGAGCUACCUGUGGUAAACACAACAGAAGUACAAGCUGAUGUAGUAAGGGGUCUGUAUGAGAUGUUGCUCAAAGAAGUACACACAGACUUUGAACUUCAUGCAGGAGACACUGUUCUCAAGGCACACAGAGCACUACUGUCUGUACGGAGCCCUUACUUCGCUGACAUGCUGCAGCCUGACACAAAGGAAGCACAGGAAGGCUUCGCACAGGUCUCAGAUGUGAAGCCAGAGGUAUUGAAACAGGUUCUAUUGUAUAUGUACACGGGUGUUGCUCCGGCUCUCAAAGACAUGUCGUGGGACCUACUGAAAGCAGCUGACAAAUACCAACUCCGGCAGUUGAAGCGCCAGUGCGAAGCACACAUUACCAGCUGUCUGAAUGUGGAAAAUGCUGCAGAAACUGCAGCCAAUGCCUCUGUUUUCUCGUGCGACAUGCUGUGGGACCGAGCCGUCCUUUUCAUCAAGCGCAACCUCAGUGAGGUGAUGUGCACGCCUGGAUGGACUGAAGCAGGAGCUACACAUCCGGAAGCAAUACAGCGUAUUAACGAGCUGAUGGAAUGAGCCAGUGAGAGAAUUUGGCUUUUCACUGUGGACAUGACACUUCACCUGAUGACCAAGGGAAGCCUCCCAGAAACGUUGCUCGGACUGGGCAAUGUAGAACAACCAAUGAAACCUGCUCUUUGAGGGAGACCGCAUUGGACGAUGAACAACUGAAGGCACCAAUAGAUGUCUCUGCAGUGAAGGUGUCGUGAGUCUACACAACAGUAGCCAUUCUAGCAGAGGGAUUAAAUCAGCUGUUCUUUAUACCUUCAAGUGGCACUCAUUGCAAUUUUGGAACCGAUUACUGCGUUUUGUUACAUCAUAACUGUGCUCCUACUAAGAUGAAACUAUAACAUCAACAGAUGGAAGACAGAAGAAGCAGAGUUCAAAAGUCAUUUAGAGAGAUCCCCAAGAAAUUCAUUUCCAGGAGUUCCAGGAAUAAUUGGGUAUGCAAUAAAUUGGAACUCAGUAUUGAACACUGAACUCAGCUGACUUUAGUUUAGCACUAAUGACAAAUGAGGAACAUUCAUCAUAUACUUCAUCAAGAUAAAUCAACUUUGAUAUUUAUUUCUUUUAAUAAUAUAAUAAUUCACUUCAGUCGCCUUCUGCACAACCAACACAUUUCUUAAUUACUGUUUCAAAUGACACCUUCAUCUUCAUUUUACUCAGAAAUGUCAUUCCAUUGUAAAAUGAAGAAAGUUAAGGAUGAAGUUCUCUUUUGAUAGUCCGUGGUCAACAAUUACUGUUUUGUGACCCAUUUUUUUAUUUUUUAAUGGAAAACAUUUGUAUUGUCCAAUGAAUUUAUAACUGUAAAAAUGUAACUAAAAAUAAAUAAAUGUAAAACACUGAAA